CGCCCAACAGCUAGCCAACCCCCUCAAACACAACAACUAAACAUUAAUAACCCCUAAUACACUUAACAAAAUUAAACAAACCAUUUUUCCUCUUUAGUAUAGGAGAUAGAAAAGGACAUCUGAGCAAUAGAAAAAGUACCGCAAGGGAAUGCUGAAAGAGAAAUGAAACAACCCAGUAAAGCAAAACAAAGCAGAGAUUCCACCUCGUACCUUUUGCAUCAUGAUUUAGCUAGUACCCUUUAAGCAAAAAGAAUUUUAGUUUAAGACCCCGAAACUAAGUGAGCUACUCCAAGACAGCCUAUUAACAGGGCACACCCGUCUCUGUGGCAAAAGAGUGGGAAGAUCUUCGAGUAGAGGUGAUAAACCUACCGAACUUAGUUAUAGCUGGUUGCCUGAGAAGUGGAUAGAAGUUCAGCCCUCAACAAUUCUUUAAUCAACCUGUUUCAACACAACCCGACCAAAAGAAUGUGGAGGAGUUAGUUAAAGGAGGUACAGCUCCUUGAUCAUAAGAUACAACUUUUCCAGGUGGAUUAAGAUCAUAAUUAAUGAAGGGUCCUAUGUUUUGGUGGGCCUAAAAGCAGCCAUCCCAACAGAAAGCGUUAAAGCUCAAACAUACAACCACCCACUAAUACUGAUAACAUGUCUGAAUCCCCUAAAAUUACCAGGCCCUCCUAUGCCCCCAUAGGAUUGAUUAUGCUAAUAUGAGUAAUAAGAAAGAAAGACUUUCUCCAAGCACAAGUGUACAUCGGAACGAACUCACACCGAAAAUUAAAGGCCCCAAUCAAAGAGGGCAUUGAAAAUGCUUAAGAUAACAAGAAGAGCACUCAACCAUCAACCUUUAAUCCCACACUGGCGUGCCGAAAGGAAAAACUAAAAGAGAAAGAAGGAACUCGGCAAACACAAGCCUCGCCUGUUUACCAAAAACAUCGCCUCUUGAAUACUAUGUAUAAGAGGUCCCGCCUGCCCUGUGACUCUAAGUUUAACGGCCGCGGUAUCUUAACCGUGCGAAGGUAGCGCAAUCACUUGUCUCUUAAAUAGGGACCUGUAUGAAUGGCAUAACGAGGGCUUAGCUGUCUCCUUUCUCCAGUUAAUGAAAUUGACCUCCCCGUGCAGAGGCGGGGAUACACCCAUAAGACGAGAAGACCCUAUGGAGCUUCAGGCACCAAAACUGAUCAUGUAAAAAACCUCUAAUAAAAGAAUACAACUUUAUGAAGCCAGUUUAAAUGCCUUUGGUUGGGGCGACCGCGGGGAAACAAAAAACCCCCAUGUGGACUGGGGCCACCUAAACCCUAAAAGCAAGAGCUCCCGCUCUAAUUAACAGAAUAUCUGACUUUUCUGAUCCGGCCAUGGCCGAUCAACGGACCGAGUUACCCUAGGGAUAACAGCGCAAUCCCCUUAUAGAGCCCAUAUCGACAAGGGGGUUUACGACCUCGAUGUUGGAUCAGGAUGUCCUAAUGGUGCAGCCGCUAUUAAGGGUUCGUUUGUUCAACGAUUAAAAUCCUACGUGAUCUGAGUUCAGACCGGAGUAAUCCAGGUCGGUUUCUAUCUAUGAUGUAAUUUAUUUCAGUACGAAAGGACCAAAAAAAUGAGGCCCCUGUCCAAAACAAGCCUCCCCCUCACUUGCUGACCUCCACUUAAGUAACUAAGAGGGCACACCUACUUCAAGGCCAUAGAGCAUGGCAA
rnacentral:rRNA from 1 species